rnacentral:rRNA from 1 species
UACGUAGGGAGCAAGCGUUGUCCGGAAUCAUUGGGCGUAAAGCGCGCGUAGGUGGCUUCGUAAGUCCGUUGUAAAAGUCAAAGGCUCAACCUUUGAAUGUCAGUGGAUACUGCCGGGCUAGAGUCCGGAAGAGGCGAGUGGAACUCCUGGUGUAGCGGUGGAAUGCGCAGAUAUCAGGAAGAACACCAACGGCGAAGGCAGCUCGCUGGGACGGAACUGACGCUGAGGCGCGAAAGCGUGGGGAGCGAACAGG